GACGAACGCUGGCGGCGUGCUUAACACAUGCAAGUCGAACGGAAAGGCCCUGCUUUUGAGGGGCGGUCGAGUGGCGAACGGGUGAGUAACACGAGAGUAACCUGCCCCGGACUCAGGGAUAACUUUACGAAACUGUGGCUACUACCGGACAGGAGCUCCUGCAGCAAGGAGGGGGACGGAAAGUUUCGGCGGAUGGGAAUGGACUCGCGGCUGAUCAGCUUGUUGGUCGGGUAGUGGCUUACCAAGGCUUUGGCAGGUAGCCGGCCUGGGAGGGUGACCGGCCCCGUUGCACCUGAGCUACGGCCCAGACCCCUACGGGAGGCAGCGGUGGGGUGUGUUGCACAAUGGGCUGAAGCCUGCUCCAGCAACGCCGCGUGCGGGAUGACGGCCUUCGGGUUGUAAACCGCUUCCGCCUUUGACGAAGCGAGAGUGACGGUAAUGGAUAAAGAAGCACCGGCUAACUACGUG
rnacentral:rRNA from 1 species